UCCCUGGCGGUCCAGUGGUUAGGACCCAGCACUUUCACUGCCAGGACCUGGGUUCAAUUCCUGGUCUGGGAA
rnacentral:tRNA from 1 species